UAGGGAAUAUUGCAAAUGGGCGAAAGCCUGAUGUAGCAACGCCGCGUGUGCGAUGAAGGUCUUCGGAUUGUAAAGCACUUUUUGGAGGGAUGAGGAAGGACAGUACCUCCAGAAUAAGCCUCGGCUAACUACGUGCCAGCAGCCGCGGUAACACGUAGGAGGCAAGCGUUAUUCGGAUUUACUGGGCGUAAAGCGCGUGCAGGCGGUUUGGAAAGUUGGAUGUGAAAGCUCCUGGCUCAACUGGGAGAGGUCGUUCAAAACUUCCCGAGUUGAGAGUGGUAGAGGGCGGUGGAAGUCCGGGUGUAGUGGUGAAAUGCGUAGAUAUCCGGAGGAACAACAGUGGCGAAAGCGGCCUCCUGGAGCAAUUCUGACGCUCAGACGCGAAAGCUAGGGUAGCAAACGG
rnacentral:rRNA from 1 species